UACGGGGGGGGCAAGCGUUGUUCGGAAUUACUGGGCGUAAAGGGUUCGUAGGUGGCUCGCUAAGUCAGACGUGAAAUCCCUCAGCUUAACUGGGGAACUGCGUCUGAGACUGGUGAGCUUGAGUGCAGGAGAGGAACGCGGAAUUCCAGGUGUAGCGGUGGAAUGCGUAGAUAUCUGGAGGAACACCGGUGGCGAAGGCGGCGUUCUGGACUGCAACUGACACUGAGGAACGAAAGCCAGGGGAGCAAACGGG
rnacentral:rRNA from 1 species